UAGGGAAUCUUCCACAAUGGGCGAAAGCCUGAUGGAGCAACGCCGCGUGUGUGAUGAAGGCUUUCGGGUCGUAAAGCACUGUUGUAUGGGAAGAACAGCUAGAAUAGGAAAUGAUUUUAGUUUGACGGUACCAUACCUGAAAGGGACGGCUAAAUACGUGCCAG
rnacentral:rRNA from 1 species